CUAAUUAAGCUCUUUUGUCACGGCCUUAGCGUCCGUGCGGCGCCCGCCUUUCUGCUCGAAGACGGGCAAGCCUUCGUCCCUAUUACUAGUCCGGACCUUCACGUCUUACGACUAAGUAUGCAAAGAAAAAUGACAAAGAGAAAGAGGCAAAGAUUCUCUCAAAAAGCUAAGUACUACACUACUUAGAAAAUGAGAAUUACAACUCACAUACACACUCCCUCUUGUGUGUUUUGACCUUAGCCAAACCCCACUACUUAUAUGUUCCUAGAUACAAUGAAUCUAGACACACACUAACUCUCUCAUUAUGAGACAUAUGAACUCACUCUCAUAAUGAGCCAUAAGCUCAAGAGUCAUCCCAUAACUCAUGAGAGUUUCAUAACCCUUGAGUUUUUCAUAGCGGGUUGGGUUCGGGUCUCUUUAACGACCCGCUCCGCUAGCGAAAUUGGGUCAUAGUCAAGGAGAAGUCAGCGGAAAAUAUUUUGUCUGUGACAUUCUCCCCCACCUAACGCGCAGAUACCCUCGUCGUGCGCCGAGUCGCUCCCGGUCCGCAUAGCCUUCCGCGAGGUCCGUCGUGCCUUCGCGCGCGAUCGGCCCCUUGCCUUGCUCCCAAUGUCCGCAUCUGUCUCCGCUCCAGCACCUAGUGUCUUGUCCCUCUUAGCAAGUGCACCAGCGAGCCUGCUAUGCGAAGAAUUCGCCGGAUGUGCAUGUCCUCCGCGACACGCACGCGCACUCUGCCAAGCUGUAGAACGCCCCGGGUGUGCAUGUCCUCCGCGACACGCGCGCGUACUCCGCCAAGCCGCUGAACGCCCCGAGUGUGCAUGUCCUCUGCGACACGCACGUGCACUCCGCCAAGCUGCAGAACGCCUCUUGGUCCUCGCAGGCUCCUUGGCAAAAUGACUUGCACUUUGCUUGGACACUGGCCGCUCUAGUGCCGCAUGAGACUCGAUAGUCUCAUCGCUGCUCAGGCCCUCCUCCUCGAGGUCCUUAGCCUUUCCGCGCUUCACCUCCUCGUAAAGCUGCAGGGUUAUAAGGGUCUGAUCCUUCGUCGAUGGGGCUGAACUCUGGUUACGCCCCUUUGCGUCCCCUGUAUCAUGACAAUCUCCCUCACCUUUGGCCUUGCUCGCCUUAGGUGAUUUGCUAUGAUCACUCUCGGUCCGCUCGGGUAGUGCCACCCUCGUCUUGAGGACCUCAACCUCCUUGACCUGGGCACCGAUGUCCUGAAGCAGCACAUCUCGCGCAUCCCGCUCGUCGUUGCGACGGGCAAGAUUCACCUUGAACUGCUCCAGACGAUGGCGGAAUGUUGCCAUAGCUGCAACAAUGUCCUUCUCCAUCAAAUGAAACCCCUCAUCCAACAAACUCACAGUUUGUAGAAACACAGAGGGUUGCUCCCCCAUUCUCGUCGUAACAUCCUCCUGCAGCCCCGCACGGUACUUCAAGGAUGUGGCCUCCAUCGCGAGUGCCUGCGACUCCUUGCUCCCUUCCCGCUUGGUCUGCAUCAAAGGCUCAUCAGUUACGUCGAUGACAGCAUGCAACAUCUGAUGACGACAUGGUUCCUCCUUGAACCGGCUCUUAUACCAACUGUCACGGCCUUGCUGUUCUGUUCGCAAAGUCCAUGCGGCGCCCGUCUUCCUACUCGAAGAUGGGCAAGCCUUCGUCCCUAUUGCUAGUCCGGGUUUCGCGUCUACGAUUAAGUAUGUAAAGGAAAAUGACAAAGAGAAAGAGGCAGAGGUUCUCUCAAAAAGCUAAGUACUACACUACUUAGAAAAUGAGAAUUAAAACUCACAUACACACUCUCUCUUGUGUGUUUUGACCUUAGCCAAACCCUACUACUUAUAUGUUCCUAGAUACAAUAAACCUAGACACACACUAACUCUCUCAUUAUGAGACACAUUAACUCACUCUCAUAAUAAGCCAUAAGCCCAAGAGUCAUCCCAUAACUCAUGAGAGUUUCAUAACCCUUGAGUUUCC
rnacentral:lncRNA from 1 species